GACGAACGCUGGCGGCGUGCUUAACACAUGCAAGUCGAGCGAGGCCCACCUUUCGGGGUGGUGUCCUAGCGGCGAACGGGUGAGUAACACGUGGGCAACCUGCCCUCAGCUCUGGGAUAACUCCAAGAAAUUGGGGCUAAUACCGGAUAUGACUGCUGACCGCAUGGUCUGGUGGUGGAAAGAUUCAUCGGCUGAGGAUGGGCCCGCGGCCUAUCAGCUUGUUGGUGGGGUAAUGGCCCACCAAGGCGACGACGGGUAGCCGGCCUGAGAGGGUGACCGGCCACACUGGGACUGAGACACGGCCCAGACUCCUACGGGAGGCAGCAGUGGGGAAUAUUGCGCAAUGGGCGAAAGCCUGACGCAGCGACGCCGCGUGAGGGAUGACGGCCUUCGGGUUGUAAACCUCUUUCAGUAGGGACGAAGCGCAAGUGACGGUACCUACAGAAGAAGCACCGGCCAACUACGUGC
rnacentral:rRNA from 1 species